rnacentral:tRNA from 26 species
GGGCGCUUAGCUCAGCUGGUUCAGAGCGUCUGCCUUACAAGCAGAGGGUCGGGGGUUCGAAUCCCUCAGCGCCCACCA